CAAAGGCUUGGUCCUGACUUUACUAUCAACUUUAGCCAAACUUACACAUGCAAGUAUCCGCACCCCCGUGAGAAUGCCCUACAGUUCCCUGCCCGGGAACAAGGAGCUGGUAUCAGGCACAAUCUUAUUUAGCCCACGACACCUUGCUUAGCCACACCCCCAAGGGAACUCAGCAGUGAUAGACAUUAAGCUAUAAGUGAAAACUUGACUUAGUCAAGGCUAAGAGGGCCGGUAAAACUCGUGCCAGCCACCGCGGUUAUACGAGAGGCCCAAGUUGAUGGAUUCCGGCGUAAAGAGUGGUUAAGAUAAAUCUAAAACUAAAGCCGAAUACUCUCAGAGCUGUUAUACGCCUCCGAGGGUAAGAAGCCCAAUCACGAAAGUGGCUUUAACAUUACUGAAUCCACGAAAGCUAUGACACAAACUGGGAUUAGAUACCCCACUAUGCCUAGCCCUAAACAUUGAUAGUAUGCUACACCUACUAUCCGCCCGGGAACUACGAGCAUCAGCUUGAAACCCAAAGGACUUGGCGGUGCUUUAGAUCCACCUAGAGGAGCCUGUUCUAGAACCGAUAACCCCCGUUCAACCUCACCCUUCCUUGUUUUCCCCGCCUAUAUACCGCCGUCGUCAGCUUACCCUGUGAAGGCCCUAUAGUAAGCAAAAUUGGCACAACCCAAAACGUCAGGUCGAGGUGUAGCGUAUGGAAGGGAAAGAAAUGGGCUACAUUCACUAAUACAGUGAAUACGAACGAUGUACUGAAAUGUAUAUCCAAAGGAGGAUUUAGCAGUAAGCAGGAAAUAGAGUGUCCCGCUGAAAUUGGCCCUGAAGCGCGCACACACCGCCCGUCACUCUCCCCAAACCUAAGUUCUUAUAUAAUUAAAACCCUACAAUCGUGAAGGGGAGGCAAGUCGUAACAUGGUAAGCGUACCGGAAGGUGCGCUUGGUAAAAAU
rnacentral:ncRNA from 1 species